rnacentral:misc_RNA from 1 species
AGCUGCGUUGUGUGGUGGACGUGUGUGAACAAUCUGCUGGAAGUACGUACUACGUAUUUCGGCUGAGGUGAUUAGCAUUGCUGAGAAGGAUCAUCAGAAAAUGUUUCGCAUUCACUAUGAUGACGAUCGCAGCGCUGACCGCAACACAAGAAAUGACAGGGGGCCAGCUCGCAAGCGAUUCAAGAAGGACAAGACAUGUUCAGAUCGCAGUGCUGACUGUGAUAUAAGAGAUGAUAGGAGGCCAGCUCGCAAGCAAUUCAAGAAGGACAAGACAUGUUCAGAUCGCAGCACUGAACGCAACACGAGAAAUUAUAGGAGGCCAGCGCCCAAGCGAUCCAGACCUGACGAGUCCGCCAAGAAUGACAAGAUAGCUGCUCCAGUCAUAAAAAAACCAGUAGCUGACCCCUUGCAGACCCAAACAUGCGGUGCCUAUAUUCCUCCAGCCAAGUUGAGCUUGAUGAAGGGCGCACCAUGCUCAUCGUCCGCAUUCCAAAGGCUGGCAUGGGAAGCUCUAAAAAAGUCCAUCAAUGGUCUUGUCAAUAAAGUAAACGUUUCUAACAUUGGAGUCAUCGUGCGUCAGUUGCACAUGGAAAACAUGGUGCGUGGACGUGGUAUUUUGUGUCGGUCUCUCAUGCAAGCUCAAUCGAUUUCUUUAACUUUCACGCAUGUCUACGCUGCCCUCGUCGCAGUCCUCAACAGCAAGUUCCCACAAAUAGGCUUGCUGCUGCUCAACAGGCUGAUCAUUCAGUUCCGUCGGGGCAUCAGACGCAAUGACAAGAGCAUCUGCCUCUCUUCCAGCCGUUUCAUCGCCCAUUUAGUGAACCAGCAGGUGGCGCAUGAACUCAUUGCUCUUGAAAUAUUUUAUUUUCUGCGUGGAAAAGUUGAGGACUUGACUGAUGACUCAGAAGUCGGCGAUAAAUCCCGGAACAGCUGCGCUGAGCUAGCCGCGGCUUUUCUUAGAGAGUGCGGACAGAAGCUUCAGAAAUUAUGUCCGCGAACCAUGGUUCAGAUAUUUAAUAGUUUGAAAAACAUUAUCAAGAAAGGAAAACUUGAAGAGAGAGUCAAGUAUAUGUUUGAAGCUAUCUUGAUUGAAGGAAAGAAUGGUUUUAAGGACAAUCCUGCCGUUCUAGUAGAGCUUGAUUUGGUGGAAAAGUAUGAUCAGAUCACACACGUAGCCGAGUUGGUUGGUAAGUUAGAUAGCGAAAACAUUCUCAAUGUAUUCAAGCACGACCCCGAAUUUAAGGUUAACGUAGGGAGAUACAUGGAAAUGCGAGCUAGUAUUUUGGGUGAGUCCAGCGCCGGGGAAGACGGUGAAAAUGGCAGUGAGUCUUCUGGGGCGGAUAGCAACGAUGAAGAAGAAAGUGAAGACAAAGAAAAUGUUGGUCAAGAUAUUUUGGACCAAACCGAGAGCAAUAUGCUGGCCUUCAGACGCACUAUCUACCUCACUCUACGGUCAUCUCUGACAGUCGACGAAGCUACGCACAAAAUUCUCAAAGGUAAUAUCAAACUUGGAUGGGAGAUGGAGCUUGGUAACAUGAUUCUGGAUUGCUGUGCUCAAGAGCGCACGUUUAUGAAGUUUUUUGCUCUCAUCGCCCAGCGUUUCUGUGGCAUCAACCGCGUGUAUCGGGACUGUUUUCAGGAGAUAUUCAAGACCGCCUACAAGACUUGCCACAGACUUGACACCGACAAGAUGCGCAAUGUUGUGCGGUUGUUCGCCCAUCUCUUUGUGACGGACGCCAUCUCAUGGGAAGUUUUCAGCGUAGUUCUGCUCAACAAAGACAACACCACCAUCUCGUCCAGUGUCUUCCUCAAAAUCCUCUUUCAAGAAAUGGUUGAAUUUCUCGGUCUGAGCAAAUUGAACGACCGACUCCGUGACCCGACGAUGAGCUGCGCGUUCGAGGGCAUCCUGCCGCGCAACAAUCCCCAUAACACGCGCUUCGCAAUCAACUUCUUCACCUCCAUUGGCCUCGGUGGCCUCACCAACGGCCUUCAGGAGCUCCUACGCAAGCAGCCGAAACCAACCGCCAUCGUCGCACCCGUCAUCCAAAAGGUGGAUGGUGAAGACAGCUCGAGCAGCAGCAGUGAAAGAAGCAGUUAUAACAAUGAGAGCAGUAUUAGUAGCAGCGGUGACAGCAGUUCUUCUGACGAUGAUUCGUCAAGUGGUGCAUCAGGUAAAAAGAACCGGUUUGGAGGCUAAAACUCUUAAAUCACUAUCGGACACCGGGACGCUGGACUACUCGGCAUGAACGCGCACUGCUGAAUGAGGGGGAUGCGCAAGCAGCCUCGGCCCCAGCGCUGCCAGAUCGUCAGGGCAGCAAUGCCAGGCGACGACGCGACCCUUCUCAACGAACCCUU